rnacentral:rRNA from 1 species
CCUACACGACCGUACCGCAAACCGACACUGGUGCGCGAGAUGAGUAUUCUAAGGCGCUUGAGAGAACUCGGGAGAAGGAACUCGGCAAAUUGACACCGUAACUUCGGAAGAAGGUGUGCCUUUAGUAGGUGAAGGGAUUUACUCCUGGAGCCCAAUGAGGUUGCAAAAAAUCGGUGGCUGCGACUGUUUAUUAAAAACACAGCACUCUGCAAACACGAAAGUGGACGUAUAGGGUGUGACGCCUGCCCGGUGCUGGAAGAUUAAAUGAUGGGGUGCAAGCUCUUGAUUGAAGUCCCAGUAAACGGCGGCCGUAACAAUAACGGUCCUAAGGUAGCGAAAUUCCUUGUCGGGUAAGUUCCGACCUGCACGAAUGGCGUAACGAUGGCCACACUGUCUCCUCCCGAGACUCAGCGAAGUUGAAAUGUUUGUGAUGAUGCAAUCUCCCCGCGGAAAGACGGAAAGACCCCAUGAACCUUUACUGUAGCUUUGUAUUGGACUUUGAACAGAUCUGUGUAGGAUAGGUGGGAGGCUUUGAAGCAGGGUCGCUAGAUCUUGUGGAGCCAACGUUGAAAUACCACCCUGGUGUGUUUGAGGUUCUAACCUAGGUCCAUUAUCUGGAUCGGGGACAGUGCAUGGUAGGCAGUUUGACUGGGGCGGUCUCCUCCCAAAGCGUAACGGAGGAGUUCGAAGGUACGCUAGGUACGGUCGGACAUCGUGCUAAUAGUGCAAUGGCAUAAGCGUGCUUAACUGCGAGACUGACAAGUCGAGCAGAUGCGAAAGCAGGACAUAGUGAUCCGGUGGUUCUGUAUGGAAGGGCCAUCGCUCAACGGAUAAAAGGUACUCUGGGGAUAACAGGCUGAUACCGCCCAAGAGUUCAUAUCGACGGCGGUGUAUGGCACCUCGAUGUCGGCUCAUCUCAUCCUGGGGCUGUAGCCGGUCCCAAGGGUAUGGCUGUUCGCCAUUUAAAGAGGUACGUGAGCUGGGUUUAAAACGUCGUGAGACAGUUUGGUCCCUAUCUUCCGUGGGCGCUGCAGAUUUGAGGAAGCCUGCUCCUAGUACGAGAGGACCGGAGUGGACGCACCUCUGGUGUAUCGGUUGUCACGCCAGUGGCAUUGCCGAGUAGCUAUGUGCGGAAGAGAUAACCGCUGAAAGCAUCUAAGCGGGAAACUCGUUUCAAGAUGAGAUCUGCCGGGGCCUUGAGCCCCCUAAAGGGUCGUUCAAGACCAGGACGUUGAUAGGUCAGGUGUGGAAGCGCAGUAAUGCGUUAAGCUAACUGAUACUAAUUGCUCGUGCGGCUUGACCG